ACUAGGCGCUUGACAAUAAUGACUUGUGCUUGUUUGUCAGACUAAUGAGACUAGCCUGUACUGUGCCUGGUGUAGCCGUGAAGCUGAGACCAUGCUGGUGUAGCCUAUGUAGGUCGAGGUCUACAUGCAUUUAGGUUUGAGUAGUCAGUUGCUUCAUUAUAUGGCACCUCAAUUGUUUGAAGACAGCAAUAAAUCAUAAAAAGGGUGAUAAUCGUUGGAGCUGUAGUGUUAGGGGCUGCUCUAUAGUGGUGACUGGUCUUAUUGGCUCUUUUCUCAUUCUCACUAUAAACUUCUUGAUUCGUUUUCAUCGUCUUCAUUAAUCCAUUAUUUAAUCAAUUCUACUAUAGUCUGUGUAUUUUGUGUAAUAAAACAAUUAAAUCGACAGAUGUAGAAACUAA